GAUGAACGCUAGCGGCAGGCUUAAUACAUGCAAGUCGAGGGGCAGCAUGAUUGUAGCAAUACAAUUGAUGGCGACCGGCAAACGGGUGCGGAACACGUACACAACCUCCCAAUAAGUGGGGAAUAGCCCAGAGAAAUUUGGAUUAAUACCCCAUAGUAAUACGAGGUGGCAUCACCUUGUACUUAAAGAUUUAUCACUUGAAGCUGGCUGUGCGGCUGAUUAAGUAGUUGGCGGGUUAACGGCCCACCAAGCCUACGAUCAGCAACUGGUGUGAGAGCACUACCAGUCACACGGGCACUGAGACACGGGCCCGACUCCUACGGGAGGCAGCAGUAAGGAAUAUUGGUCAAUGGACGAAAGUCUGAACCAGCCAUGCCGCGUGGAGGAUGAAGGUCCUCUGGAUUGUAAACUUCUUUUAUAUGGGACGAAAAAAGGGUUUUCUAACUCGUCUGACGGUACCAUAUGAAUAAGCACCGGCUAACUCCGUGCCAGCAGCCGCAGUAACAC
rnacentral:rRNA from 1 species